rnacentral:misc_RNA from 1 species
UUCGCGGACGAUUGUGGAGUGUUGUGUUGUUUGGUGGCUUGUUAUGCUUCGUUUUGACGUUUCCAGCUGUCGCUGAGCUGCUUGUGUAGGCGGCGGAUCCCCAGCAGCUCCAGCGCGCACGUGUGGUUGCGCCAGUAACUCGGGCCGUGUCUUCCCUUCGCGCGCCGAGCCGGGCAGGGAAGUGUGGGAAAAGCCCAAGUGAUGUUCGACAUCGAACGUGAACGCAUCGGACGAGAUAGUGAGUGUGAAAUGUCAGCUGCUGUCAAUGCACUGCCAGCGCUCGUUGCGUGAAUAAAAUCCAUGCCUAAUUAGAAGUGGCGUUCAGUCGUUCGGGCGCUGUUUGUUUUGCGAGUGUUCCUUGAGGAAAACAUUUCCACCGCCUCCUUUCGCCCCUCCGCCCUUCCCAGUGAUUUUCCGAACUUGAGAGUGAAGUUCCAAUUGUUCUUGUGUUCGAGCGAAGAAAAGAAGGAAAGUCGUCAAGUGCGCCGGGAAAUUCCUCUUGAGAGUUUCCGUUCAGAUUCUGUGUAGUGCAUUCUAAUGGAGUGAAAAAGUGGAAAAUGUAUCGAUGCUAAAGUAAAGCCGACACUUGGCCGCAGAGAGCUCCACUUGCGAGUCCUUGGCUCCGCUGGAGUGGAUCCCUUGCAUCGUAGGAAGGUCAGCCAGUGAAAGGAGCAGGACACGCGCAGCCCCCGGGUACUCUAGUAGCAAUUGCGAUCGAGGAACUCCACACUUAAAAUAUUGUUUCUCACGGACACCGCCCGGAGGAAAACUAGAAUUGCUCAUCAUCAAAUCCUCAGACUACAGCGAAAUGAUAGACACACAGUAGGUCAAGUAUAGGAGAGGUUGAACUUGUGAUAUAAGUACAUAUACAUCCGGCGUCUCUGAGGCUUUACUGCUGCAUUCACGUAUGAGUUGUUGGAUACAUUGUUCCCGCUAAGGACAGUUAAUUUACUGAAAUGAGCAUUGUACAAGGACAUGAGCUGGAGGCGAACGCUAUUCAUCGGAUAUCGAACUGACGUCGCCGAUAAAGUGUUUUCAUUUGGGUAUUCAUUGAAGAAAAAAUCUAACGCCUUGUAAACGGUCUGUAGCUGUAGUGAGAGUGCCAUUGUGAACAUCGUCAUGUUAUUAAUUAGUGCCCUAGCGCUAGGACUCGUCGAAUCGACGAGUUCAAAUGUAGGAGCGAGUGUCGGGUAUAGUGUAGGAGGAAGUGUGGGAGGUAGUGUGAGUGUCGGAAGUGCAGUGGGAGGAAAUAGCGAAGCCAUAAUAGCAGGCGGUUCCGCGACGGGUCAAUCUCUUAGUUCGGCAAUAGUGCGUAGUAUUAGUGAAGGAGGAAGCAGCGCUGGUGGGGGUGGAACAUUAUCAUGGGAUAAUAAUGGAACGUUCAAGACGGCAGGGCCGGGUGAAUGGUCACUGGAGCAUUGCCUAAUGUGGCAACGUCCCCACCACCUUUACUAUCAGCUGAGCAACGCUUUCUUUUUCCUGGCCUUCAUGGCGCCACACGGCCCCUUCGGAAUGGUCUGGUUGCGUUCGAUUUUAAUUGUUGGCUGUGUUCUAAUGGCCAUGUGGGGGUGGCUCGUCGAAUGCACUCCAGACAUCGUCUUAUGGUCGAUCCUUUUCCUAGUUGUUAAUGUUAUUUAUCUUAUUGUGUUACUGUGCAGAUUGCGACCUAUACGAUUCGAUAAGGAAGUUGAAGCGGUUUACGAAGCUUUAUUUAAACCGCUGAGGGUGUCAAGGCAUCAAUUCAAAAAAGUACUGAAUUGUAUGAAACUGGUGCGAUCGUUAAAGUAUCAGGAAGUUUAUGCACAGGAGAAAGUGACAAAAGUAGACAGUUUAUCUCUGGUGUUAUCCGGAAAAUUAGUCGUUUCACAAAACCAACGAGCAUUACAUAUAGUAUUUCCACAUCAGUUCCUAGAUUCGCCAGAAUGGUUCGGAGUCUCAACAGAUGACUAUUUUCAGGUGUCAAUAAUGGCGAUGGAGGAGUCACGUGUUCUGAUUUGGCAUCGAGACAAACUGAAACUUUCGAUAAUGGCUGAACCAUUUUUGCAGGCUGUAUUCGAUCAUAUUUUAGGCAGAGAUGUUGUUAAAAAAUUGAUGCAGGUCACGCAGGUGAGUGAAACCAUAGCGAGUAAUGGUUUUUUACCAACGGGGGGCUUCGAGGACGAAGAGAAACCAAUGUUACUUCUGAAGAAAGGCAACGAAGGUCACGGGUUAACAGCUCUGAUAAAUCGCCAAUUGCAAGAAGAGCAUGCGCCUUUGCUUGGUCGGCCGCGUCUAAAGCAACCCCCAUUGGUAUCCAUUCCGGCUUCAGCUAUGCAUAGGGCCCCGAGUAAUCUGAAGACGUCUGCCUGCUGAAAAGCAGAAACGAAUAAAUGACGAAGUGUCACACGCAAUGUUGUUUUUGAAUUUUUUGUUCAAUUUACCUCUAAUCAUGCAUCUAAUCUUGUCAAUCUAUUUCGAGCGAUCCAAAUG